GCGGCUGCUGGUCUUGGCCGAGCUGCUGCGGAUAGGAGGAAGUGGACGUGUGAUUCAGCUGUGGGCUGUGAUCUCUUUGUCUGCAGGAAUCACAAGCUCAUUACGCCAUGGAAUAAUCUUGGGAUCUCUGGGAACAUCUCUGAGCCUUCAAAUCUGCUGGGCCUAUUAAGAAGCCAGGUCCAUUUGAAAAUUUGCCCAGAAUAUUUUUCAGUGGGUCUGUGUUUCAUUAAUCUGCUUUGAGGCUGGAUUCAUAACAAGCAGAUCUUUAAAAACUUUAUGAUUUUUGAAGAACGCUCUGAAACCUCUCCAUAUCCUCCUCGGCCUUCUGGGAGUUUAAAGCCCAGUGAAUUCAAAGAAGAUAACAUUUGGAAGAAGUGUCUAUUUCAGUGCUCCAGCAAAUUACCAGUCAAAUAUGCUGAUUCUCACCAAAUGAAUCCAUCUUGCCGAGUCCUCUGUCUUUGGCCUGACAAUCUGCCUGGGAUGAUUGCACAUCAGACUUGACUGCUCUCUCUCUCUUUUUGUCAUAGACCCAAGGACAAGCAACUCGUACCUUCACUUGGAGCUUUGCACCCCACGUCACCACCUUUUGUCUGACUUUCCUCUCUGGAGCAUGCAGGCUGC